AGUGAACGCUGGCGGUAGGCCUAACACAUGCAAGUCGAACGGCAGCACAGUAAGAGCUUGCUCUUACGGGUGGCGAGUGGCGGACGGGUGAGGAAUACAUCGGAAUCUACUUUUUCGUGGGGGAUAACGUAGGGAAACUUACGCUAAUACCGCAUACGACCUACGGGUGAAAGCAGGGGAUCUUCGGACCUUGCGCGAUUGAAUGAGCCGAUGUCGGAUUAGCUAGUUGGCGGGGUAAAGGCCCACCAAGGCGACGAUCCGUAGCUGGUCUGAGAGGAUGAUCAGCCACACUGGAACUUAGAAACGGUCCAGACUCCUACGGGAGGCAGCAGUGGGGAAUAUUGGACAAUGGGCGCAAGCCUGAUCCAGCCAUACCGCGUGGGUGAAGAAGGCCUUCGGGUUGUAAAGCCCUUUUGUUGGGAAAGAAAAGCAGCAGGUUAAUACCCCGCUGUUCUGACGGUACCCAAAGAAUAAGCACCGGCUAACUUCGUG
rnacentral:rRNA from 1 species